GCGCAGGCUCCGCGCGCCGGCGCAGGAAGAACUCGCCGCCUAGAGCAGCGGCGCCGAGGCUCCUCGAGGAGGACGUGGGCCAGACCUGCAUGUCUCAGCAUUCCCAGCAUCCUUUGGGGCACCUGAGCCUGAGGAGACUUCCUAGCUACGCUGGAACCCAGAGAACAGCCGUGGCCCAGAUACAGGAAGGAGGAAAACCUCCCAGGAAAUGGGAAAAGAAGCUCUGAAUCGAGUACCUACAGAAGUGGAAUCUUUGGUCUCAUGGAGCAAAAGUCUUUUCAACCCACAAGAACUCCCAAAUACUGAUGAAUAGCUUGUUGGAAAGACAAAGCAGGAAUUGGUUCCCCAGUUCCAAAGAUGAAGAAAUCAAGACCCCGUGAGAAGGAAGUGGCUCUCCCACAGUUAAUCACCAUUGAUGAUGUGACAAAAGCUUCGGUCAGAAAUGCUGCUGUAAGAUGCUCCAAAUAACCCCAUGAUUUGGGAUGAUUGAUUAUGGGAAUGCUGCUUUUACUGUACAUCCAAGAGAGAAGAGGAUUUUCUCCCAAAUAUCCUACCGAAAUGGUAUUUUUGAAGCUAUGCUUGCUACUCUGUGUGCUGAAAUCUGAAGACUUCUUCCUUCCUGCAGCAGACAGGUGCUCCCACUACAGAAACAUGAUGUCCCAGGGGACUUUCCCGAGCUCUACUUUGACUCCAGUUUGCUCACUACAGUGAAAUAGGACCCCCAACAUGUCAAAGAAUCAUCCUUUUUACCUUAGCUCUUUUAAGCCAUCCUAAGCAGAGAUUAUUUCUUUACUACUAAACCUGUGAAAUAACAGGUUCGUCCAUUCAAAGCACACCUGUUGUAAAUAGAUACUUUUUCUCUCUUUCUAGUCUUUGUCCCUGAGAAACUUCUCAAUAACUCAACAAAUAAUUUUAAGGGUGUUGAGAGAGAGAUUUUUGGAAUUAUGAUUCAGAAAGAUAGGCCCUGUAUUGGAGAAAUAUCUAGUCCCCAGCAAAAGCAAAACAAAAGGAAAAGAUCAACCAAAGGACUUGUGUGCACACAUAUGAGCC